GCUCAGAAACUCAAAGGAAGUUGACGGGGCCCGCACAAGCGGAGGAGCAUGUGGUUAAUUCGAUGAUACGCGAGGAACUUUACCUGGGCUCGAACGUAAGAUGACUGUAGGUGAAAGCUUACAUCUCUUCGGAGCAUUUUACGAGGUGCUGCAUGGUUGUCGUCAGCUCGUGCCGUGAGGUGUCGGGUUAAGUCCCAUAACGAGCGCAACCCCUACCUUUAGUUGCCAUCAGGUUAAGCUGGGGACUCUAAAGGAACUGCCUACGCAAGUAGUGAGGAAGCGGGGAUGACGUCAAAUCAGCACGGCCCUUACGUCCAGGGCUACACACGUGCUACAAUGGCCGAUACAGAGGGCAGCUACCUGGUGACAGGAUGCAAAUCUCCAAAGUCGGUCUCAGUUCGGAUCGGAGUCUGCAACCCGACUCCGUGAAGUUGGAUUCGCUAGUAAUCGCGCAUCAGCCAUGGCGCGGUGAAUACGUUCCCGGGCCUU
rnacentral:rRNA from 1 species